UGGNUGAUCCUGCCGGAGGNCACUGCUCUCUUGGUUCGAUUAAGCCAUGCGAGUCGAGAGGGUUCGGCCCUCGGCGUACUGCUCAGUAACACGUGGAUAACCUGCCCUAGGGAAGGGGAUAAUCCCGGGAAACUGGGGAUAAUACCCUAUAGGUUACAGAUGCUGGAAUGCUCUGUAAUCAAAAGUUCCGGCGCCCUAGGAUGGAUCUGCGGCCGAUUAGGUUGUUGUUGGGGUAAUGGCCCAACAAGCCAGUAAUCGGUACGGGUUGUGGGAGCAAGAGCCCGGAGUUGGAUUCUGAGACACGAAUCCAGGCCCUACGGGGCGCAGCAGGCACGAAAACUUUACAAUGCGGGCAACCGUGAUAAGGGAACCUCGAGUGCCUGUAAAUGCAGGCUGUUCAGAUGCCUAAAACACAUCUGGAGAAAGGGCCGGGCAAGACCGGUGCCAGCCGCCGCGGUAAUACCGGCGGCUCGAGUGGUGGCCACUUUUAUUGGGCUUAAAGCGUUCGUAGCUGGGUUGUUAAGUCUCUUGGGAAAUCUGGCGGCUUAACCGUCAGGCGUCUAAGGGAUACUGGCAAUCUUGGAACCGGGAGAGGUGAAGGGUACUUCGGGGGUAAGAUUGAAAUCCUGUAAUCCUCGAGGGACCACCUGUGG
rnacentral:rRNA from 1 species